ACGGCGGGCGCGGGGGACAGGCUUCCUGCACGAUUUAACCCGGGAGCGUCGCUCGUGUGAGGCGCAGGCGGCCGCCGGCGUGCGUGUAGGCCCUUGCUCGCCCGGCAGCCUCCAACUGCCCAGUGGCCAUGAUAGUGUUUGUCAGGUUCAACUCCAGCCAUGGUUUCCCAGUGGAGGUCGAUUCUGACACCAGCAUCUUCCAGCUCAAGGAGGUGGUUGCUAAGCAACAGGGGGUUCCAGCUGACCAGUUGCGUGUGAUUUUCGCAGGGAAGGAGCUGAGGAAUGACUUGACAGUGCGGAGCUGUGACCUGGAUCAGCAGAGCAUCGUUCACAUUGUGCUGAGACCCCAGAGAAAAGUCCCAGAAAGGAGCACAGCUGGAGGGGACAGCCCGCAGAACACUGCGGGGGGCUCUGAGAGGGAGCCUGAGAGCCUAACUCGUGUGGACCUCAGCAGCUCCGUCCUCCCAGCCGACUCAGUGGGUCUGGCUAUUAUUCUGAAGGAUGACAACGAGAAUGGUAGCCCACCAGCUGGAAGGCCAGCAGGCAGACCAACCUACAACAGCUUUUUUGUCUACUGCAAAGGCCCCUGUCAAGGAGUGGAGCCAGGAAAGCUCAGGGUACGGUGCAGCACCUGCCAACAAGCGACGCUCACCUUGGCCCAGGGUCCUUCUCGCUGGGAAGAUGUCUUAAUCCCAAACCAGAUGAGUGGUGAAUGCCAGUCUCCAAACUGUCCUGGGACUAGAGCAGAAUUUUUCUUUAAAUGUGGAGCACACCCGACCUCUGACAAGGAAACAUCAGUAGCUUUGAACCUGAUCACAACAAAUAGUCGAGACAUCACCUGCAUAACAUGUAUGGACAUCAGAAGCCCGGUCCUGGUUUUCCAGUGCAACUACCGCCACGUGAUUUGCUUAGACUGUUUCCACCUCUACUGUGUGACGAGACUCAACGAUCGGCAGUUUGUCCACGACCCUCAGCUUGGUUACUCUCUACCUUGUGUGGCUGGCUGCCCCAACUCCUUGAUUAAAGAGCUCCAUCACUUCAGGAUUCUUGGAGAAGAGCAGUACAACCGGUACCAGCAAUAUGGCGCCGAAGAGUGCGUGCUGCAGAUGGGGGGCGUGCUGUGCCCCAGCCCGGGCUGCGGAGCAGGGCUGCUUCCUGAGCCCAGCCAGAGGAAGGUCACCUGCGAAGCGGGCAGCGGCCUGGGCUGCGGGUUCGUCUUUUGCCGGGAGUGUAAGGAACCGUACCACGAAGGUGAAUGCAGUGCCCUGUUCGAAGCCUCAGGAACAGUUACUCAGGCCUACCGAGUUGAUGAGAAGACGGCAGAGCGGGCUCGGUGGGAGCGCGCCUCCAAAGAAACGAUCAAGAAGACUUCUAAACCCUGUCCCCGUUGCCACGUGCCGGUGGAAAAACAUGGCGUAUUCCUGAGUCCCGGCCGUCCUGUCCUCUGGACGUGUUCUACGGUGGGCGUUUGUGGUUUGGCGGAGGAGCGCCCACCCAGCAUGGACCUCAUCGCAUUGCUGAAGUCUCAGUUCCUGUGCCAUCUCAUCUUCUGUUACGUGUUUAUCGCCUCGGGGCUCAUCAUCAACACCAUUCAGCUCUUCACUCUCCUCCUCUGGCCAAUUAACAAGCAACUUUUCCGGAAGAUCAACUGCCGGCUGUCCUACUGCAUCUCCAGCCAGCUGGUGAUGCUGCUGGAAUGGUGGUCGGGCACGGAGUGCAUCAUCCACACGGACCCCCGGGCCUACCCCAAGUACGGGAAGGAAAACGCCAUCGUUGUUCUGAACCACAAGUUUGAGAUCGACUUUCUCUGCGGUUGGAGCCUGGCCGAGCGCUUCGGGGUCUUAGGGGGCUCCAAGGUCCUGGCCAAGAAGGAGCUGGCCUACGUCCCCAUAAUCGGCUGGAUGUGGUACUUCACGGAGAUGGUCUUCUGCACGCGCAAGUGGGAGCAGGACCGCAAGACCGUCUCUGAGAGCCUGCUGCACCUGCGGGACUACCCCGAGAAGUACUUUUUCCUGAUUCACUGCGAGGGCACGCGGUUCACAGAGAAGAAGCACCAGAUAAGCAUGCAGGUGGCCCAGGCCAAGGGGCUGCCCAGCCUCAAGCACCACCUGCUGCCUCGCACCAAGGGCUUCGCCAUCACCGUGAGGAGUUUGAGAAAUGUAGUUUCAGCUGUAUAUGACUGUACACUCAAUUUCAGAAAUAAUGAAAAUCCAACACUGCUGGGAGUCCUAAAUGGAAAGAAAUAUCACGCAGAUUUAUACGUUAGGCGGAUCCCUUUAGGAGAAGUCCCAGAAGAUGAGGACAGGUGCGCGGCCUGGCUGCACAAGCUCUACCAGGAGAAGGACGCCCUCCAGGAGGAGUACUCCCGCACGGGCACCUUCCCCGGGACGCCCAUGGUGCCCCCGCGGCGGCCCUGGACGCUCGUCAACUGGCUGUUCUGGGCCUCGCUGCUGCUCUACCCGUUCUUCCGCUUCCUCGUCAACAUGGUCCGCAGCGGCUCCUCCCUGACGUUGGCCAGCUUCGUCCUCGUCUUCUUCGUGGCUUCCGUGGGGGUCCGAUGGAUGAUUGGUGUCACGGAAAUCGACAAGGGCUCCGCCUACGGCAACAUGGACAGCAAGCAGAAACACGGCGACUGACCCAGGACGCACCACCGUCCACAGGGGACCUUGGAGGACUGGUGGAUGCUGCCAUCAUCCUUGGAGGGACCCAGUGAUGAAGCUGGCAAGGCGAUUCUAGACCCUAAAGGAACUCCUAACCCAGCGCCCACCUUCAGCACACUUGAUUGUACCCCUUCUGUUGAGGAACACAUGAGUGACAAGGACAGACCUCUGUAUCAGAUAAUGUGUUGGCUCUGAAGCUGAUAACCAUUAAAAGACAAUAUAACUGAGCUUUCCUAAAAUAAACCAUUUAUUGAAAAAAGAACCUUUUUCUUAAAUUUCAUUAAUCAGCCUUUUGCAUAACAAACCUGUGGCUUGCCAACAACAACAACAACAGGUAAGGUUUCACAGUCAGUGCACUCGACAAACAAGAGAUUAACAAGGCCCAGGACGCCUGAUAACACUACAACUGCUUUUGAACCUAGAAAGGUCAAAAAUACUACACUGAUGUCACGGUUCUCAGUCACCCGAGAAAUGGAGGUGACGGAGGUGAUGGUCCGUGUACAGUAGUAAUGGCACUUAACAUGCAGCUUCUUUACCUCGUGGACACCAUCACUCAGGAGGGCCCCGUGCCACGUCGAACAAACAGGAGCAGCAGGAGAAGUGACGCUUGUCACCUGUGCAGUCUUCAGUCUUGGAAGGUUAAAAAGGCUUAUACUGCUUCUCAGCACAGUCUUUAUGUAAAUAUUACAUACAGUAGUGAUUAAGAGAAUUUUCCGAGUACACACACUACUAGGCCACAGACUGAUUAGCUUCAUUCUUCAUCUGUGCAAACCUGUGAGGAAGGCAGGAGAGAGCUGAACCCUAUUCACGCCACAUGUAAGAUUUACAGGUAAGUCAUAAUCAGUGCAUCCUGAUGCUCCCAGCACUGUGCCUGGCACAGAGCAAAGCCGUAAUCAAUGCAAUGAAAUGUCAGUGCUAAGUUACUGCUCUAUGAAUUGACUAUUGAAAGCAUUUUUAAGAAUGUAUUUGUGGGGCUUCCCUGGUGGCGCAGUGGUUGAGAGUCCGCCUGCCGAUGCAGGGGACA